AAGUGCCGGCUACUCUAGUAGUUAUAUGUGUGUGUCCGUCAUCUUUAAGCUUGGCCAAACCAAAAUCCGAUAUCUUUGGAUUGAGAUCUUUAUCGAGCAACACAUUAGUUGCUUUGAUGUCCCUGUGAACUAUCUUAAGCCUCGACUCUUCAUGUAGGUAAGCCAAACCUCUAGCAAUACCGACGCAAAUUUUCUUCCUUGUCGACCAAGUCAAUUUCAAUGGACAGUUUUCUUUGGCUUCAUUUUCAAAUGUCAUAGAAAAUUAGACGACAAAAUCAUAUGGUGUGUGUACACUGUACACAGAGAGACACACACAACAUUGUAGAUUAUAUUAAUGAAAGAGCUACAAAACUUGACUACAUGGAUAAAAGGUUUACCAAACAAAGCACAAGCAAGGCUAUUAUUUUCCAUGUAUUCAUAUAUUAGCAAUAACUGAUCUCCCUCCAUACAGCAACCGUAGAGCUUAACUAGACAAGGGUGUUGCAAAGCAGAAAUCAAGCCGAUCUCGUUUAUAAAUUCGCGGUUCCCUUGCUUUGAUUUAGAAGAAAGCUGCUUAACAGCUACUAUUUUGCCGUCUGAAAGAACACCCUGCAAUUUCAGGAGUUUAUAUUAUAUCUAUAUAUGAAAGAAGUUAUCGAGAAGUGAAAACAAUAAUAGAUAUUUCAAUGACAUUCAAAUUUCAAAUGAAAGUGUAGAUUGUCCACAAUACCUUGUAAACAGGACCAAACCCGCCCUCUCCAAUCUUAAACGCAAUAUCAAAGUUGUUAGUUGCUGCUUUGAUUUGCCGUAACGUAAAUAGCCCAGGUUGGAAAUCUAAACCCUUUAGCUCUGUUGAUUGCAGUAAAAAAGAAUAUAUAAAUAAAAUCAGAGAUAUUUUUUGAGUAACUUCCACAUCUAGACAUAAUGGCAGCUUUGACUAAAGAAUCUAUAUUUUUAUAAAAUCAAAUUCAGCCUGUUAUGUGUAUAAAGGAAUUUCCAAAAAUUCAUUUUUAUGGUUGCAAAAUCCCAAUUUUGCAUCAAAAUUCCUUAGAGUUUUAGAGUAAAACUAUCUUAGGUCUUACCCCUUUCUAACGGACCUAUAUGUUGUCGACAUCUUCUCCACCAAUAUAUACUGAAUACCAGUAAGAUAACUAGUCCUCCAGCAACAGCAGUCACGACAAUUUUCCAAACAGGCAUGCUACUGCGCUUUUCCACUGGGGGUGUAAAGUCUGUUUAAUUAUGAUAAAAUAUAAAAGACUUGCAUAUAGACCAUAUUAGAGGAUGAUGGAAUAAGAAGAACCAUGAAGAACUAUAACUGACCAGGAUCAACCGAUAUGGCCGAUAUAAGAGGACCAUAUACUGAAUCAAAUGGGAUACCGGUUGUCCCUUUCCCCGCCCAAUGAAGGCGAAUCUCCAACGUAUUACUAGUCACAUUAGCAGUGAAAUUCUUUAUGAUUGCCUUACCAACUCCACCGGCUUCUUUUGCAAUAUUGAAAUCCUUCAGCACCAACCUUCCCUGCAAAAUGGUUUAUAAUGGUCAAAGGAAACUUGUUCAAUACUAAACAUGUUGCUGAAAAACAUAAGAUGAUGAGAUCAUGCACCUGAAUAUAUAUGUCAAAUAUACGUCUUCCAAGGCUGUUAUAUGUUUGAUCAUCCGUAAACAUUAUCUCCGCAAAAUGGAGAUUUACACUGUAGUUUCCAUUUCCCAGGCAAAAUCCAUAAUAUGUUAGAGAAAGCGGCGAAACCCGUGCAUCCAUAUACAGUUUGGCAUUUUCCAUGGCAAGGUUGGUUUUUUUAGACCAGGUAUAGUAGUCCGCAAGGCUACUAUUACUAUCGAAGAAGUGACCAGUGUUGCUAAGUGCCCAGUUUGAUCCAGUUCGCUGAAAGCUUGCUGGUCCAACUUGACUUGAAUCAUCAUCAUAUGUCAAGCUUUCAUUAGAAGUUAUUUGCUUACCACCACAAUUUAUACGGAGAGAGUACGAAGCUGGAAUGGUCAAAAGAAAAAAAAUGCUAAGUACAAUAAGAUGAUCACAUUAUAAAUAAAAAUUGUAAGAUUAGAACCUAGAACAACAACCUUGGUUCGAAAGAAAACAAAUAUGAAAAACGCAAAAAGAGAAUACAAGGAUUUAUUGUAGAAAUAAGCUCAAAUAAGCAUUUGUAAGCUCAAAUAAGCCAAUUCAAACAGGCCCUAAGUAGAAAUUAUUAAGUUAAAAGCACCAGCAGGUAUCCUACAAUCUAAAGGAAAACCACGACAAAUCAACUUACUUUUAGGACAGCUGAAGUUCCCCAAACAUGAAACCCUUCCCCUAAGAAAAAAUAAUGGUGUGUAACAUAUCAGCAUAAUGACAUUAUAAAAUGUAUAAGCUAUAUGCAUAAAAUAAUUUAUUAUGAUUCAUGAGUAGUACAAAACUUACAAGUUAUUUCGCUUUGAAGAUGAUGCAAACAAGUUCCUGCGGCACAUGGUAAACAGAAAAAAGAUUAUAUAGUUUCUUAAAAUUGUUGAAACAAAAAAAGUAUGAAAAAACAAGGAUUCUUACACGGUUCCCUGUUGACAUGUCAACUGCUCUGGAUUUUCAAUGCUCAAAUUGUUAUACGAAAGAUCUCUGCAUGUGUCAAAUUAUGCAUGUGAUUCAGAAAUAAAGAUGUAACAAAGAACUAUAUGUAACGCUUUUUGGUAUAGAAAUAUCGAAAACUAGUUGUACAAAAAUUUAGCAUGCAGAAGUAAUAAUUAACCUCAAUAAACUAAAUAAGCAGCGUUUGAAGGAUUACUCACGUGUAGUCUGGUCUAGCAAUCCAAUUUGGAAGCGGUCCAGUAAACAGGUUUCCAGUUAAGUAUCUAAGUAAAACAGUAAGAUAAGAUUAAUGAAGACUAGAUUAUAGAUUAAUGAUAUCAAGAAAGAACUUUCUCCAAUGUUCUCAUCUUUCUCCUUAUCUCCACUUAUAGAUUUGCCUAUUUUCUAAUCAUUCUCAAUUUAGAUUUUCAGCGAGAGGCAGUGACAUGAUUAUCUCAUGGUGAUUUUAGAAUUAUAUAUAAAUUUAUUGGUCCGUAGUUUAAGAACAAAAAUAAAUAAAAUGUAUGCACAUAGACAUAGUUCUAGAUUGCAGUUCGCAACUGCAAUAGGGUUUUAGAGGUUUCUGCAAUGGCAUCUAUUAGAGAUAUAGAUUAGUAGCAUAUUAGUCCUAGUAGAGAGUAGUAUAAAUAACUUCUAACCACCCCAUUAGAGGGACUUUUCUCAUUUUGUAAUAUUCCAUUUCCAUCAAUAGAAAGAGUUUCUUAGUUUUCUCUCCUUCCUUCCAUGGAUGCCAUGCUUCCUAACAGCAUCACACUGCACUUGUGGCCGUAUUUUCCUGCACUGUUGCAGUGUAAUUGCAUUUUAGAACCAUGCAUGCACAUGGACUUGAAAUGGAUAAAUAUUCAUGAGAGAAAUGAAUCAGAUUCACUAUUUUCCACUUGCGGCUCUAUCUAAAAUCCAAUCUAUUAAUAAUCUCGUUGCUUCGUUGCAAACAAUUCUAACCUUGACUACAUCUGUUUAAAUCACACUAAUAUCUUGCAGGUAUCUUUAAGAAUUCAAUUUGGUGUAUACAAGAAACUCGGAGGAUAUUGCUUACAGCAUAUUUAUGUUCUUCAGGCCACCCAAGGUGUUCGGAAUCGGUCCAGUUAAUUUGUUAAAGCUGAGAUCUCUGAAAAAAAUUAUGCUCAGAAUAAAUAUUAUUCGACAAGAAAAAUGGUAUAGUCCCCAUAACAUAAUAAAAGAAGCAUCUUGUUUUUCACCAAAAUAUGAGUACUGAUUGCAUCUAUUGUAACUGGUUCUAACACAUGUGAAUAAUGCAAGUGAAUAAUGCAAGAAACUUCCUAGCAUUACUUACAAAGAUUUUAAAGUAGUAAUAUGUCCAAGAUAGUCGGGAACUUCUCCUAUAAGAUUGCAACUCCUCAGCACUCUGUCAAAAAAAUUGAUACUAUGUAAAUUUUUAAGUGCAAACAUGCACUUAUGCUAAUAAUCCAAGCAAUUCCCUUACAAUGUUUCAAUAUUUGUCAAGCCAAUAAGUUGCGGAAAUGGAGAAUCUGAUCCUUUCAAGUCGCUUAUUCUCCUGCAUAACAUUUCUUAAUCACUGUAAAACUCAAUAAGAGAAAAAUUGAAUUUUAAAUCCUUGACCAAAAUUUAUAAAGCACUGACACAAAUACCGAACACGAUACUGACGUUGACAUACAUGUAGUGUGUCGGACACUAGACUCGCAUUCAAUUUGAAACAUCGGUGUUAAAGAUCGCAAGAAAAUACAUCAUACUUACAAGUCAUUGAGGUUUUUCAGAUAUGAAAUUCCAGAAGGAAUUGGACCACUCAACCCACUCCCUUGCAUCACCCUGUCAAAUUAAAAGCAAUUCUUUCAACAAACCAGCUUAACUAAGAAAAAAAAUUAUGAUUUAGAAUUUCACGAGAAGAAACAAAAAGGUUCACACAUUCUCUCAAGAAUUGUCCAGCUCUGAAUGAAAUAAGGUAUAGUUCCAGAAAAUUGAUUGUCACAAAGUCGACUGCAUUUUCAGAAGGUAAACACAAUGAAUAAGAUAUUACGGUUCAUAUGAACAUCAAUAGAAUGAAUGUUUUUAAGUGUACCAAAAACAAUUAAGGGAAGGAUUUGUUACAUGUGCUUCAGUUUAGUGAGCUUAGCAAACGUUGCAGGUAAAUUACCAGUAAAAAAGUUCGAGGUAAGAAGCCUACAACAACAUUGAAAUUGGAAUUAGGUAUUGCAACUCUCAGUACGGUAAAAAUGAAUAAUUUCACCAAUUUUUUAGUUGUAGCAAUUUAGAAAAUGGCAGUGUAAUCACUUGCGGAUCACAUAACAUAGCAGUUUGUUCAAAUUCGGCUAUACUAUAACAUUGCUAUAGCCGCUAUUUGACAAAACUGGAAUAUAGAAAUUGUGAAUUCUACAAAGGAGCUUACAGUCUUUCAAGCUGGUGAAGAUUCCCAAGCUCUGGUGGAAGCUCUCCAGAUAACUGAUUGAACUUCAGAAUCCUAUGCAUUUAGUGUAUCAAACUUUAAGUUACUUGAAAGUUUUCAUAAAAUCUACAUAGGCAAAUUACUUACAAUUUUUGCAUAGUGCUGAUGUUUCCAAGCUCUUUCGGGAUUGAACCCGUUAAUCGGUUUCCUAUGAGUGAACUGUCACAAAGCAUGCAAAACUACUUAUAAGAUUAUAUUUCAAAAAGAAAACAAUAAUCUAAAACAAAAAUUUACAUAAAAAAUACCUAUUUCUUAGAAUUAUUUACUAUUUCUAAUAAUAGUAAUAAGAAUAGGAAAUAAAAGAAUGGUUAAGGGGAAAUACAUGUUGACAAGAUUCAUGGAACCCCAUUGUGGAGGGAUUGUACCAUUAAGGUAGUUGUUUGAGAGAUCACUGUACCACAUUAAGUAAAAUAAUCAAACAUUAAUACUGAAUUAUGAUAAUGAUAAAAAUUUAGUAAGGUAAAAUUAGAAUAACAUACAUUUGUUGGAGGUAAGGCAAUCUCACAAGUUCCUUUGGAAGUGUGCCAGAAAGAUUUUGUGAUCUGAGAACACUGCAUCAUAAUUAAUUAUAAGCUUGUGUUUUGACUCUAUAAGCUUGUGUAGCACCUUGAAAAAUAGGUUAUAAAUGAUGGACAGCUUAUAAGUCAAUUAUGUGCGAGUUGAGUUAGGUCCAAUUUAAAAUACUAAUAAUCUAUAAGAGCAUAUUGAUGCGAGUAUUUAUAUUCAAGCACCAAGUUCAAUAGUAUACAAUAUGAAAGAGAUUAUUGAAGGAAAAAGUACCGCAUAACAUAAAGAUAAAACUUAAAAUUAGUUUAUAAAGAAUAAUUGUUUUAUAGGAUUAGUAAGGCACAGUGUAAAAAUAUAAUAAUACCUGCACCAAACACAAAAUCGACACACAUAUGGAGAGCAAGAAAAUAACAUACAUGCUAACAAUAUGACAGACAGUGGCAUUGGCAAAAGUGCAAUUGCAUGUGACAGCAUUUUCAAACCCUUUGACUUUCACAGAAGAUUUCCAAUUAUUUUCUCCACUACAUGGAUCUUUGUUGAAGUCCCAAUCCUUCUUCCCAAGUGUCUUAGCUACAUCUUUCAUAACCUGUGCUGUAUAUUAAUUCAAAACCAAAAUUUGUUUUAAUAUCCUCAUGGAGACGAAAAACUUAAACAGAUAGCGAAAAUCGAACCUGAAACCUUGAGGAGAGCACAUUCCAAAGUCUCAAGUCAAAAUGACUAGACCAACUUAAACUAAGAGAGACGUUUAUAAGGUACAUACCUUCUUCUUGUAAGAGAGUAGCUCCACUAGCAAAUGAAGAGAUCAAACAAAAGGAAAGAAACAAAAGAUGCAAAGACUUGUUCAUGAUAGGCUUCAUAUUUGAAACAAGUGAAUGAAAGAAAAUGAAAUCAGUGGUUGAAAGUGUAAGGGUUAUAUUAAGCAAUUAUUGUAGCAUGAGAUACGUUCCCGGAAAGAGAUAUAUGGAAAAUAGACCACUCUAUGACUUAAUGAAAUGAAAAGUCAAUAGUAAUGUGAAAUAGACAAAAUUUAAGUAAGGGCCCGUGUACUUUCAUUUUUUCUGCUUUUUCAUUCAACUAGUACGUAGUAUAAGAUAAUAUACACUUGUUUACACUUACAAUAUUUUAAGUUGUUAACAAUGGUCUAUAAUCGAAGUUAUGAUAAUCCUUCAAAAAAAAUAAAAAAUCGAAGUUAUAAUAAGAACAAUGCAUGCACACCAUUUAGUUUAGGACAAAAAAAUCAUCAACAUCAUGAAAUAUAGAUUGUAUAUAACCAACCACACCAAGAGUUUUACAUUGAAAUAUUUAGUUUUGAUUAUCAUUGGUAUUUAUUUCAUUUUUUUUGUUUGAAUUCACAAAAUAGCACAAUCUUUGUUGACCAACCAUGGCCUCAAGUAAAAGUUUAAUGGAAAUGUUUCCCUCCUUUUUUUUAUAAUACUAACUAAUAUGGCCGCUGGUUUAAGAAGACUUCAACAGUUCGAUGACUUUUGUUUUCCACUUCCUUCUUUCCCAAUCACAUUUGAUUAUUUUAGUUUUUCACUAAGCACGUUCCAUCCAUAAUCAUGGGAUGCCCCAUCAACUCUUUUAAUAAGUGCUCUCCAUACCAUAACAUGACUUCCUUUCGUCAAACUCACGGAUUCGGCUAUACCUGCAAAACCAAUCAAAUGUAACGAGUUAAAACUUGCAAUACCUGUUCUUUGAUCCAUAUUGUGUGUAGAAACGUCCUAUCAAUUGAUCAACAAUGAUUUGGAACCAAGAUUUUGACAAAAGAUUUUUGAAAUGGGGAUUUUUUGUGGAAUGGUAUGGUGAGGUAAGGUGAUGAGUGAAUAGGACCUAGGGGUUUUCUUGUUUCGUGGGAGAAAAACAACGACAGUUAACUCCCGCUGGCUCCACCGGCAAUUAACUGCUGUCGGUUAACCCAACGGUAGUUAACUACCGCUGGGGACUCUAAUGUAAUUUACUUGUGUCAUUGUGAACUUUUGUAUGUCAAAAAGCAAUUUUCAAUGAUAAUUAAUUGUUAUGGGUACACUUAAAGUUAAAUGUAGAUGCGAUACCUAUUAGACCAUGUCCAAUGGUGUUUAAUGGGUAUGUUGAAAGCAACAUUCAACAAGUGAAAUGCUCCAAUGGCGGUGUUUAAUAGUGAUGUGGAUGAAAGAGAGGUUGAAUGGUUUCAACAAUGUUUAAUCUGACGCAAGGGAACACGUGGCGGACUUCAGUUGGCCAGAAAUGGCGCGUGAAGCUGCAGAGGCUGGAGAGAGAAACGGAAAUCAGGAUAGAUAUGGACACAUGUUCAGUUUUGAUUGGUUGUCCGGAUUCUUAUCAUUUUAAUAAUUGGACCUCAAUAUUUCGUUGUAAAUUAUUUUUUAAAAAAAAAAAAAACCAAAAUUCAUGAUUUUUUUCUCUCUAUAAAUAGAGACUUGGUUCAUUUGAUUUGGACAAAGAAAAAAAAACCAAGUUUUUCACUAUCUUAAUCUUAUUAUUAUCUUUCUAUUAGAAAACUAAGUGAAGUUUUAAUCUUAUUUUUAGUGAAAUGGAUCCCAAUAAUAACCAUUUCAACACCCAAAAUUAUUCUAAUUACCCAUUUAACUAAUAAAAUCCCAACAAUUAUCCAAAUCCAAAUCAAUUUUUCAACCAACGUCCUCAAAACUUACCUCAAAACAUACAUAAUUUUGGUUUUACACCAAAUUUCAACCAGUCAUCCUCUUUUCCAAACUUUCAUCCAUAUUAUGGAUCUAUGAUGAGAUAUCCAUCUCAAACACCACCGUUUAAUGGUUAUAUGCCAAUGGAGAAUGAAAAUUUUCCCAUUAUUGGUGCAUCUCAAUUUCCUGAAUUUCCAACACAUAUAACUCCUGGUGGCAUGGCUGUUGCUAAUGAAGUCACUCCAAAUCCAGAAGAUUCAACUCCUAAGAGCAACAAAAGUAAGGAACCAACAUGGAACACUGAACAACAUUUGGUGUUAAUUAGUGCAUGGAUUAAGUUUGGAACAAACAAUGUUGUCGGGAGAAUCCAGAGGGGUGAAACAUAUUGGGGUAAAAUUGAUGAGUAUUGUAUUGAGUAUGGCUCAUUUGAUUCUCCGCGGGAUCUAGUUGCAUGCCAAAACCGUUUUAAUUAUAUGAGCAAAGUAAUAAAUAAAUGGAUUAGUGCUUAUGAUGCCGCUAAGCGUUUGCAAGGAAGCGGUUGGUCGGAAGAUGAUAUUUUGGCAAAAGCGCAGGAAUAUUUGCAUGUGGGAAGAAUGUUCAAUUUACUUUAAACGAAGAAUGACACGCUCUCCGUGAUCAACCACGUUAUGGUAGUCAAAUGGGAGGAAAUGUUGGGUCAGGAAGUAGUGGAUCUAAGAGAUCUCAGGAGGACUUUGUAGGAUCUAGUGCUCGUCCAAUGGGUAGGGAGGAAGCUUAAAACAAAGGUAAAAAGAAAAUCAAGAACGCUGCCUUGGAGGAGGUGGAAAAGAAGUGGGUUGAAUUCAAAGAAAUCAAGGUGCAAGAGAUCGAACAAUUGAAAGAGUUCACCGCGGUGCAACAUGAGAAAUACAGAUUGAAGAAAAUGAAACUGUAUGUAAUGUUAAGUUCCGGAGAACAUCUCGAUGACCGGAAAAAAGAGAUGUUGGAAAACUUGGAACGUGAGCUGUUUGAAAAUUAAUUUCAAUCAAAUAUUUGUUUGUAUUCGGUAAUAAUUGUCAGUGUUGUCUAGUCCCAGUGUUUUCUUUAAUAAUUGUCAGUGUUUGCUUUAAUAAUUGUUAGUGUUGUCUAGUCCUCAGUGAUUGCUUUAUUAUCCCCAUUGAUAGUCCCCAAUGUUGUCUAGUCCCCUGUGACUUAUGUCACAUACUAUUUGCUUUAAUAAUUAUGCUCACUGUGUGCCCAUUAUUUCACAUACUAUUUGCUUUAAUAAUUAUCUCAACUAUUUGCUUUAAUACAAUACAAUAACUUAUUUCAAAUCCGUCAAUGUCCACCACACAAUGUACUUAUAUAUAGGGACUCAUAUCUACUUCCAAUUUCACAAAUCUCAUUCACAUCUACUUCCAAUUUCACAAAUCUCAUUUAUAUCUACUUCCAAUAUCACAAAAAACUAUUCAAUCUACUUCCAAAAAAACUAUUAAUGGACCCUUUUGAUAUCGAAGUUGUUGUACCCUGAUUUUGGACCUAAAAAUACUCGUUCAAAUUUCUUUUUUAACACUGAUAUUUGUCAAUUCUCUGUUAUUUUACUCUGAAUCUUUACUCUCUUUUUAAACGUAUUUUACUGCCUCUGUCUUUUCUGACAUUACAAGUCAUUUAAGAACUCUCUGAAACGUCGCAUUACUUUUCUUGCAUUUUNNNNNNNNNNNNNNNNNNNNNNNNNNNNNNNNNNNNNNNNNNNNNNNNNNNNNNNNNNNNNNNNNNNNNNNNNNNNNNNNNNNNNNNNNNNNNNNNNNNNGCGAACGGUGAUGGAAAUUUGAUUCCUCUAAUUCUUGAUCAUUAUGAACAACCUAGUACUGUUUAUCAUGUUCAUCUUUUUGAUAGUCCCUCUUAUGUUGCAGUCACUCCAAUUUUAACACAUCCGAAUUGUCAUGCUAGGGCUCGAUCCAUGAGACGAGCUUUUGGAGCAAAGAACAAAUUUGAUUUUGUUGAUGGUUCUAUACAUGUUUCUACGGGGUUUGAUCCAAGUUUCAAGUCUUGGAAUCGCUGCAAUAUGCUUGUUCAUUUGUGGAAAAUGAACUAUCUUGAUGAAUCAAUUGCGCACCACAUAGUUUUUCUGGAAAAUGCAAUUGACGUUUGGAAUGAGCUAAAGCAAAGAUUUUCGUAAGGUGAUUAUAUGAAACACGGCUGAAGUUUGCUAUAAGAAACAUGAUUUUCCUCCUCAUGCUAUCUACAUUAGGACUUGUUUGGGACUUUUGAAACUUAAAAGACCACUUUGGGAAAAACGAAAAACUUAAAAGGACCUUUAGAUGCAUUUGACCUUAAUAUUUCAAUAAGUUGAAUACAGAAUUUCCAAGAUAAAGUUUAUACUUCCAGUUUCUUUUUUUAUAUAUAUAGUUUAUUUUUUAAAAUCUAUAAGGAGAAUCCAUGCUGAUAGAACGCAUAUCUGUAUGAGACAUAAAUUCUGCAGUUUCACUUAUUAAGAUGCUCUCUUCUUGAGUCUCUGGUGUAUAAACUUUUUCACUUUGUUCACAAUACUGUUGAAUAAUUUCCAACUGUUGAUGAUACUGUUGAAUAAUUUCCAACUUAUUGCCUUCAAAAACUUGGUUUGUGUCUUGUAUAACUUCUUCAACAUCAGAUUGUCCUUCAAGCAUGCUUACAACUGAUGACAUGGUUGGUCUAUGCAUCGGAGAAACACGAGUGCAUAAAAGAGCUACAUUGAUCAUGAUCAUCGCUUCCUCUUUGUUGAAAUCUUCACCUAGCCUCUCAUCAAUUAGGUCCAUUAUGUUACCUUCUUCCUUUAAGAAAUGCACCUGAUAAAGAUGAAAUACAAACAAACUUCAAGAUAUUGUGAUGAAGACUCAAAUUGGAUAGAAGGUAUGAAGUUAUGGGUGUGUUAGUUACCCAAUCAACAAGAGAGAAGCAUUCAUCCCUUGGCUUAUUCAUGGUGUUGUGCUUCCCACUAACAAUUUCCAAGGCAACGACUCCAAAACUAUAAACAUCCACUUUCUCCGUCAAAUAUCCGUGCAUUGCAUAUUCUGGAGCCAUAUAUCCACUGCAACAUCGAAAUUUAUAUAUUAACUCAAGUGGAUUAAACUAAAUUUUAAGAGGUUUUAUUCUUUUCUUCCUCACAUUACACUUAGAAAAUGAUAAAUACCCUUCGACAAAUUCCAUAAAAAAAAAGAACACAUUGUAUAUAGAACUCACUAUGUGCCGGCUACUCUAGUAGUUAUAUGUGUGUGUCCGUCAUCUUUAAGCUUAGCCAAACCAAAAUCAGAUAUCUUUGGAUUGAGAUCUUUAUCGAGCAACACAUUAGUUGCUUUGAUGUCCCUGUGAACUAUCUUAAGCCUCGACUCUUCAUGUAGGUAAGCCAAACCUCUAGCAAUACCGACACAAAUGUUCUUCCUUGUCGACCAAGUCAAUUUCAAUUGAGCGUUUUCUUUGGCUUCAUUUUCAAAUGUCAUAGAAAAUUAGACAACAAAAUCAUAUGGUGUGUGUGUGUAUGCGCAGAGAGACACACAUAACAUUGUAGUGUAUGCGCAGAGAGACACACAUAACAUUGUAGAUUAUAUUAAUGAAAGUGCUACAAAACUUGACUACAUGGAAAAAAGUUUACCAAACAAAGCACAAGCAAGGCUAUUAUUUUCCAUGUAUUCAUAUAUUAGUAAUAACUGAUCUCCCUCCAUACAGCAACCAUAGAGCUUAACUAGACAAGGGUGUUGCAAAGCAGAAAUCAAGCCGAUCUCAUUUAUAAAUUCGCGGUUCCCUUGCUUUGAUUUAGAGGAAAGCUGCUUAACUGCUACUAUUGUGCCGUCUGAAAGAACACCCUGCAAUUCAAGGAAUUUAUAUUAUAUCUCUGUACGUGAAAGAAGUAAAAACAAUAAUAGAUAUAUCAAUGACAUUCAAAUUUGAAAUGAAAGUGUAGAUUGUACAAAUACCUUGUAAACCGGACCAAACCCUCCUUCUCCAAUCUUAUAGGCAAUAUCAAAGUUGUUAGUCGCUGCUUUGAUUUGCCGUAACGUAAAUAGCCCAGGUUGGAAAUCUAAACCCUUUAGCUCUGUUGAUUGAAGUAAAAAAGAAUAUAUAAAUAAAAUCAGAGAUAUUUUUUUGAGUAACUUCCACAUCAAUACUUUUAGCAAGUACAAAUCUAGACACAAUGGCAGCCUUGAGCUCUAUAUUUUUAUAAAAUCAAAUUCAGCUUAUUAUGCUUAUAAAAGAAUUUCCGAAAGUUAAUUUUCAGGGUCUUACCUCUUUCUAACGGACCCAUAUGUUGUCGACAUCUUCUCCACCAAUAUAUACCAAAUACUAGUAAGAUAACUAGUCCUCCAGCAACAACAAUCACAGCAAUUUCCCAAACAGGUAUGCUACUGCCUUUUUCCACCGGCGGUGUAAAGUCUGUUUAAUUAUGAUAUAAUAUAAAAGGUUGUCAUAUAGACCAUAUUAGAGGAUGAUGGAAUAAGAAGAACCAUGAAGAACUAUAACUGACCAGGAUCAACCGAUAUAGCCGAUAUAAGAGGACCAUGUACUGAAUCAAAUGGGAUACCGGUUGUCCCUUUCCCCGCCCAAUGAAGGCGAAUCUCCAACGUAUUACUAGUCACAUUAGCAGUGAACUUCUUUAUGAUUGCCUUACCAACUCCACCGGCUUCUUUUGCAAUAUUGAAAUCCUUCAGCACCAACCUUCCCUGCAAAAUGGUUUAUAACGGUCAAAGGAAACUUGUUCAAUACUAAACAUGUUGCUGAAAAACAUAAGAUGAUGAGAUCAUGCACCUGAAUAUAUAUGUCAAAUAUACGUCUUCCAAGGCUGUUAUAUGUUUGAUCAUCCGUAAACAUUAUCUCCGCAAAAUGGAGAUUUACAGUGUAGUUUCCAUUUCCCAGACAAAAGCCAUAAUAUGUUAGAGAAAGCGGCGAAACCCGUGCAUCCAUAUACAGUUCGGCAUUUUCCAUGGCAAGGUUAGUUUUGUUAGACCAGGUAUAGUAGUCCGCAAGGCUAUCGAAGAAGUGACCAGUGUUGCUAAGGGCCCAGUUUGAUCCAGUUCGCUGAAAGCUUGCUGGUCCAACUUGACUUGAAUCAUCAUCAUAUGUCAAACUUUCAUUCGAAGUUAUUUUCUUACCACCACAAUUUAUACGGAGAGAGUACGAAGCUGGAAUGGUCAAAAGAAAAAAAAUGCGAAGUACAAUAAGAUGAUCGUAUUAUAAAUAAAAAUUGUAAGAUUAGAACCUAGAACAACAACCUUGAUUCGAAAGAAAACAAAUAUGAAAAACACAAAAAGAGAAUACUAGGAUUUAUUGUAGAAAUAAGCUCAAAUAAGCAUUUGUAAGCUCAAAUAAGCCAAUUCAAACAGGCCCUAAGUAGAAAUUAUUAAGUUAAAAGCACCAGCAGGUAUCCUACAAUCUAAAGGAAAACCACGACAAAUCAACUUACUUUUAGGACAGCUGAAGUUCCCCAAACAUGAAACCCUUCCCCUAAGAAAUAAUGGUGUGUAACAUAUCAGCAUAAUCACAUUAUAAAAUAAUUUAUUAUGACUCAUGAGUAGUACAAAACUUACAAGUUAUUUCGCUUUGAAGAUGAUGCAAAUAAGUUCCUGCGGCACAUGGUAAACAGCAAAAGAUUAGAUAGUUUCUUAAAAUUGUUGAAACAAAAAAAGUAUGAAAAAACAAGGAUUCUUACACGGUUCCCUGUUGACAUGUCAACUGCUCUGGAUUUUCAAUGCUCAAAUUGUUAUACGAAAGAUCUCUGCAUGUGUCAAAUUAUGCAUGUGAUUCAGAAAUAAAGAUGUAACAAAGAACUAUAUGUAACACUUUUUGGUAUAGAAAUUUCGAAAACUAGUUGUACAAAAAUUUAGCAUGCAGAAGUAAUAAUUAACCUCAAUAAAUUAAAUAAGCAGCGUUUGAAGGAUUACUCACGUGUAGUCUGGUCUAGCAAUCCAAUUUGGAAGCGGUCCAGUAAAAAGGUUUCCAGUUAAGUAUCUAAGUAAAAAAAUAAGAUAAGAUUAAUGAAGACUAGAUUAAAGUUUAAGGAUAUCAAGAAACAACUUGCCCCAAUGUUCUACGCUUUCUCCUUAUUUCCAUUUAUAGAUUUACCUGUUUUUCUAAUCAUUCUCAAUUUAGAUUUUCAGCGAGAGGCCGCGACGUGAUUAUCUCAUGGUGAUAUAUAAAUUUAUUGGUCUGAAGUUUAAGAACAAAAAUAAAUAAAAUAUAUGCACAUAGACAUAGUUCUAGAUUGCAGUUCGCAACUGCAAUAGGGUUUUAGAGGUUUCUGCAACGGCAUCAAACUGCAAUUGUGGCCGUAUUUGCCUGCACUGUUGCAGUGUAAUUGCAUUUUAGAACCAUGCAUGCACAUGGACUUGAAAUGGAUAAAUAUUUAUGAGAGAAAUGAAUCAGAUUCACGAUUUUCCACUUGCGUCUCUAUCUAAAAUCCAAUCUAUUAAUAAUCUCGUUGCUUCGUUGCAAACAAUUCUAACCUUGUCUUCAUAAGUUUAAAUCACACUUUCUUUCAGGUAUCUUUAAGAAUUCAAUUUGGUGUAUACAAGUAACUCAGAGGAUAUUGCUUACAGCAUAUUUAUGUUCUUCAGGCCACCCAAGGUGAUCGGAAUCGGUCCAGUUAAUUUGUUAAAACUGAGAUCUCUGAAAAAGAAAUUAUGCUCAGAAUAAAUAUUAUUCGACAAGAAAAAUGUUUUAGUCCCGAUAACAUAACAAAAGAAGCAUCUUGUUUUUCACCAAAAUUUGAGUACUGAUUGCAUCUAUUGUAACUGGUUCUAACGCAUGUGAAUAAUGCAAGAAACUUCCUAGUAUUACUUACAAAGAUUUUAAAGUAGUAAUAUGUCCAAGAUAGUCGGGAACUUCUCCUAUAAGAUUGCAACUCCUCAGCACUCUGUCAAAAAAAUUGAUACUAUGUAAAUUUUUAAGUGCAAUGCACUUAUGCUAAUAAUCCAAGCAAUUCCCUUACAAUGUUUGAAUAUUUGUCAAGCCAAUAAGUUGCGGAAAAGGAGAAUCUGAUCCUUUCAAGUCGCUUAUUCUCCUGCAUAACAUUUAUUAAUCACUGUAAAACUCAAUAAGAGAAAAAUUGAAUUUUAAAUCCUUGACCAAAAUCUAUAAAGCACUAACACAAAUACCGAACACGAUACUGACGUUGACAUACAUGUAGUGUGUCGGACACUAGACUCACAUUCAAUUUAAAUGUCGGUGUUAAAGAUCACAAGAAAAUACAUCAUACUUACAAGCCAUUGAGGUUUUUCAGAUAUGAAAUUCCAGAAGGAAUUGGACCACUCAAACCACUCCCUUGCAUCACCCUGUCAAAAUUAAAAGUUAUUAUUUUGACAAACCAGCUUAACUAAGAAAAAAAAUUAUGAUUUAGAAUUUCGNGAUCGAUUUUGAGCAACCUGGGGGAAGUGGAUCAAGUACACCGCAACCAUACUCGACCGGGGUGUUACCAGCUUUUGCAAAUCAUGUGCGUGCUAGAUCCGAGUUGCGUCAUCCAGAUGUUCGUCACGAACUGCAAGUAGAUCUAGUGAAGCACAUAUGGACAAAGUUUGGAAUGUAUCAUGAUUGAAGAUGAUUUCUAUCGUACUAAAUAAAUUAUUUGUGUGUUGUAUUUCAUUUUAAGUUAUUUGUGUGCCGCGUGUUUAGUUUGUUGUAUUGCAUUUUAAGUUAAGAAAAUAAAAAUAAAUUAUUUUGCAAAAUUUUGUUUUUUUCAAAAAACCUAAAAAAUAAAUAGUUAAUUGUAUUAUUUUAAUUUAAUUAUAAUCGAUAAUUUUAUGUAACUAUAAAAACAAAAAUUAAAUAAGAAUAAGAAAUACAAAGUGGUGGGGUAGAGUGUUGAAUGAAAAACCAUUGGAGAGGGUAAAAGUUGAAUGAGUAUUGAAUAAGAGAGAGAAAAUGAUGUGGAGUGUUGGAAAUUGAAAAAAUAGGUGUUGAAAGGGAAAAUCAUUGGACAUGGUCUUACAAUCCAUCUAAAUAAAAGUUUUUAUUUUUUUAUUUUUUUUUACAAAAACAAAACGAUAUUCAUUCAUUCAAAUCGAUAGAGUACAUCAGAUACAAACAUCACUAAAAACGUAAAGGGUGAAUUUGCGAACAAACUCACAACACCCAAUUUAACAGCAAUAUAAUAAAUUUUCUUUCUUUCAUCUCUAGUUUUCUCUCUUAAUUUCUAGAGUGUGAUCCCUACUCGAAUUGGACCAUAUCAUAAUGCUACUACAAUUAUGAUUUUUGGUACACUUUAAUUUAUGUUUAUGAAAGAUUUCCAUAUUGUAGACAAGCUCAUAAGAAUUUUAUAGACAAACCCUAUAUUAUAAUUGUCGUUUGACAACAUAAUAUUAUAAAAAUAUAGUUUUUGUGGGGAUUAUGAAAAUAUUCUUAUUACCAUUAUUCACUCAUAUAAAAAUAAGCUCAUAAGAAUUUUAUAGACAAACCCUAUAUUAUAAUUGUCUUUUGACAAAAUAAUAUUAUAAAAAUAUUGUUUUUGUGGGGAUUAUAAAAAUAUUCUUAUUACCAUUAUUCACUAAUAUAAAAAUAUUGAGAAAAACGUCAUUCCAUAAUUCCUCUAAAAAAGAAAACACAUUCCUUAGUUAUAGUGUAUGUUCGCUCAUGAAUUGAAUUAUAAAAUAAAUCACACUUAAUUUGAACUUAAUUUGAACAAGAUAAACGAAAUGAUAAACAUUAUAUCCUUUUUCAAUAAAACUAAUUAAUAUUAUUUAUUUGGAAAAUUAAAGGUUUUUUUUUUUUUUUUGUAACAAAGUUUGUUUUUGUUACGUGCAAAUUUAAAUUUCCAUGAAAGACAGGAUAUGAAAGUUUUUGUUACCUAUAAGGUGUGUUUGAUAUGCUAAAAAAUGAAGGAUAAAACAUAACAACUUCAGUUGUAUAAUGUUUGAUUUGUAAAACUCUUUAGGGAUAGAACAAAUUGAAGGCAAAGAACAUAACAAAAAGCGUAUAAGGCUAGAUAUUAUUCAAUACUAUAAAAUUUUGUUACGUGUUGUUCUGUCUUAUUUUGUGCUAUAUAUUUUGUUUUGAGGAGUUCUGUCCAGUUGUUACUGUUUAACAUAUCAAACACACCCAUAAUAAUGGUUUCUUGUGUAGUUAAAAUUCUAUUAUUAAGAUCAAUAACAUUGUUAAAAAUCUCAAGUGCAAAAUAUAAUAACAAUUCUAAUGGAAAAAACAAAAGACUUCGUUAAUGUUACUUCAAAAAAAAAAAAAGACUUCAUUAAUGUUAAAAAAGGAAGAAAGAGCGAGUGAUAGAGAGAGGAUCCAUCAAUUUAUUUAUUUUUUGUUUUUGGUGAAAUGACCCAUCAAUUUUACCAGUGAGAUGAGUGUAUGUAAAAAAAUAAUGAAUUUAUUGGAGAGAGGGGGUAAUGUAUCACAAUUAUUUAUUAUUGAAGAAAAGAUUAGACAUCAAAGUUAUUUGAAAGAAAGAGUGAAUGCGAGAAAAAAAAAAAUUUAUUGCUGGAUUAGAAUGAGGGUAUAAUAAAAAAAACAAAAAAGUACACUUCAUUAAUUUGAGGGUGUUAUUCUAAAAUGACACGUAAAAAGAAAUAGAUGAAAUAUAAUUAUCCUAGUAAAUAGAUUUUCAAUGAGAAGCUCGUUUUAUUCAUUUUGAGAUGGAAAAGAUAACAAAAUAUUAAAAUAAAAAAUUGAGGUUGUACCAUGUUAAACUUGUAAAUAGAACUGAGAAAUAGUUAACUUGUGCAACAAGUUAACUUGAUAUGCAAGCUUCUGCAUAAGUUAGACAUUAGAAUAAUGACAGCUAUGAGUUAGUUAGGAUUAUACACAUAACACACAUUCUCUUUUCUUCCUAGCUUCUGCAAUUUCUAUGGUUUUCAUUAUGUUGAUGAUGAACUUCAUGACAGUAUCAGAGCUAAUGCCGCUGCGAACGGUGAUGGAAAUUUGAUUCCUCUAAUUCUUGAUCAUUAUGAACAACCUAGUACUGUUUAUCAUGUUCAUCUUUUUGAUAGUCCCUCUUAUGUUGCAGUCACUCCAAUUUUAACACAUCCGAAUUGUCAUGCUAGGGCUCGAUCCAUGAGACGAGCUUUUGGAGCAAAGAACAAAUUUGAUUUUGUUGAUGGUUCUAUACAUGUUUCUACGGGGUUUGAUCCAAGUUUCAAGUCUUGGAAUCGCUGCAAUAUGCUUGUUCAUUUGUGGAAAAUGAACUAUCUUGAUGAAUCAAUUGCGCACCACAUAGUUUUUCUGGAAAAUGCAAUUGACGUUUGGAAUGAGCUAAAGCAAAGAUUUUCGUAAGGUGAUUAUAUGAAACACGGCUGAAGUUUGCUAUAAGAAACAUGAUUUUCCUCCUCAUGCUAUCUACAUUAGGACUUGUUUGGGACUUUUGAAACUUAAAAGACCACUUUGGGAAAAACGAAAAACUUAAAAGGACCUUUAGAUGCAUUUGACCUUAAUAUUUCAAUAAGUUGAAUACAGAAUUUCCAAGAUAAAGUUUAUACUUCCAGUUUCUUUUUUUAUAUAUAUAGUUUAUUUUUUAAAAUCUAUAAGGAGAAUCCAUGCUGAUAGAACGCAUAUCUGUAUGAGACAUAAAUUCUGCAGUUUCACUUAUUAAGAUGCUCUCUUCUUGAGUCUCUGGUGUAUAAACUUUUUCACUUUGUUCACAAUACUGUUGAAUAAUUUCCAACUGUUGAUGAUACUGUUGAAUAAUUUCCAACUUAUUGCCUUCAAAAACUUGGCUUGUGUCUUGUUUAACUUCUUCAACAUCAGAUUGUCCUUCAAGCAUGCUUACAACUGAUGACAUGGUUGGUCUAUGCAUCGGAGAAACACGAGUGCAUAAAAGAGCUACAUUGAUCAUGAUCAUUGCUUCCUCUUUGUUGAAAUCUUCACCUAAUCUCUCAUCAAUUAGGUCCAUUAUGUUACCUUCUUCCUUUAAGAGAUGCACCUGAUAAAGAUGAAAUACAAACUUCAAGAUAUUGUGAUGAAGACUCAAAUUGGAUAGAAGGUAUGAAGUUAUGGAUGUGUUAGUUACCCGAUCAACAAGAGAGAAGCAUUCAUCCCUUGGCCUAUUCAUGGUGUUGUGCUUCCCACUAACAAUUUCCAAGGCAACUACUCCAAAACUAUAAACAUCCACUUUCUCCGUCAAAUAUCCGUGCAUUGCAUAUUCUGGAGCCAUAUAUCCACUGCAACAUAAAAAAUUAGGUUGGAAAAUGAUAAAUACCCUUAAAAAAUUCCAUAAAAAAAAGAACAAAUUAUAUAUAGAACUCACUAAGUGCCGGCUACUCUAGUAGUUAUAUGUGUGUGUCCGUCAUCUUUAAGCUUGGCCAAACCAAAAUCCGAUAUCUUUGGAUUGAGAUCUUUAUCGAGCAACACAUUAGUUGCUUUGAUGUCCCUGUGAACUAUCUUAAGCCUCGACUCUUCAUGUAGGUAAGCCAAACCUCUAGCAAUACCGACGCAAAUUUUCUUCCUUGUCGACCAAGUCAAUUUCAAUGGACAGUUUUCUUUGGCUUCAUUUUCAAAUGUCAUAGAAAAUUAGACGACAAAAUCAUAUGGUGUGUGUACACAGAGAGACACACACAACAUUGUAGAUUAUAUUAAUGAAAGAGCUACAAAACUUGACUACAUGGAUAAAAG
rnacentral:lncRNA from 1 species